CCUGUAUAUUAAUUUAAAACUCUUGUUCCUUAGUUAUUUGCCGUCAUUAUUCUCCUGUACCUCGUGGCUUAUAAAGAGUUUCCUGUUGGCUUGAAAGCUUUUCUGUUCAAAUCCACGAUCCACUGUUAAUCCUACCUCAUAAUUUGUUCUGUUCGUAGGAAGUGCCGGCCAUAAACGAGACACAGAGGUCAGCGAAGCGUCGCGAUAACACGAGAUAACAACACAAUCAAUUGUCAUUUGACAUAAGAACUUUCUCUGCUGUGUACUUUGUUGGUUUUAAUGAAGAUGGAACGGAUUGCCACGCAUGUUUUUGUCAUUUGGGCCUUAAUCAUUUCAUCACAAGCAGUGAAUUUUUUGCCAUCAAUUCAAUGGACACCCGACAACCCUAU
rnacentral:lncRNA from 1 species